CUUCAUGAGUGAUGCGGAUUCGAGGACCAAUCACGUGGCUGCGUUCUGGACCAUGUUGUGAACGUGAAGUAGUGCAGAGGCGAAGGGCCUUCCCCGCCCGCGGAGGGAUACACUCAGAAACAGCGCCGCGGUUCACCCCGCCUCCUAGCGGCGCUUCACAGACACAAAGCGCGAGAAGCGAGUCUCACGCUGUGCUGAAGCUCAGGAGUCUGCGCCGCGUAAUGUAGUCCGUCUACACGUCACUCCCCAGCGAGGAGACCAGGUCCAGCAGGUCCAGGACGGGCUCGCCAGUCCCUUUUACUGGCCUUCUGAAUAAUAAUGGGACAAAGGAAAAGCACCUAACGCCAGAAGGACCAUCGGUCACAGGCAGAAACGUUUUCAGCAGGCCAGGUGCUGACAGCCGCCAGGACGAGGGAAGACCCAGCGGUCUGGUACAUGUUCAGGACAAAGACGGUGUGUCCCUGGAGGUGGGAUACCACAAGUCCUGUUACAGACAGGACACCAGGUUCUUGUCCAAGUCCACUGCAACAGUUACUGGGACCCCAGAAGAAGAACAGCAAGUUGUUAUAUUUCAUAUUACAUCAGCUGAUAAUUCCCUCCCAGUGCGCAGCAUUUCAGGAGGGAAGCAUUGACCUUCUGCAUGUCUGUUUAUUGCCUGUGGACACAGUCGUGACUUGCCCAUUUAGCGAGAGCUGGAAAUAUUUAUGGGAAGAAAUGAGCCAACCUAUGAUGCCGGCUACAAGAUUUUCUGAGGAAAAGUCAUCUGCCGCAGAAUAAAGAAGGAUCUUCAUAAAUCUGGCAGGAUAAAUUGAACAGGAGCUUUGCCCGCGACUUCCCCCAGCUGGCGUUUUACUAUCCCGGCAAGCGCAACAUGUGUCCGAUGGUUUUUGUUGAGACAUCAUCUGCACAUACGUUGAUAGACAGGCUACCUCACCUGUUAGGCUCAGGAAUGCCAACUGAGGUAAGCCAAACUGAAAGUGACUGUGAAAAAAACCCCAAGGUCAAGUUCAGAGACCUCAUUCUAUACUACAGAGGACACAAGGACACUUUAUAGUGCAGCACUGGUUUUAAAGAAGCUUUUGCGUGACGCUUCUGGGACGACAUGCCCACAGCCACCCACGUCAGAUGACUUUAAUGUAACUGAAGCAGAAUCUGUCCUUACUCGAAUUAUACAGUCUGAUUUCCUGGAUUGUGGGUGCAACUGAGGAACCAGUGCUGGCCGGCUCUGUUGAUGUUCCAGAUGAUUUGAACCUAAAAGUGAUGUCCAUUUGGCAAGACCUUGAGUACCUUGCAUCUGUUCACCAUUUAACAGGUUCAUCACACAUCGUGUCCCUUCUUAAUAGACUAGGACAUUGUGCAUCGUGGGACACAGUUGUCAGUCUAGACACUAGCCUUGCCCGACUUCAGCUAGUAGAAGGCAGAGACAAAAUACCAAAAGGAUUCUCAAAGAAAGCUCCUACAUUACUUAUGUGGGACAGCAUUGACUUUGGGGAAGAGACACUGUCAGGUCGUGGAACUACUCAUUGUGUUUGUGCUGCAAGGUUCUGUAAUUGAAGCUGUGUCAACAACAAACAGACGGCCACUACAGAAGGAAAGGAGGUUUCUUCAUUGAAACCAGUACCACCAGUUCAAAAGACAAGGGCCACAGAACUUGUUUCAUCAUGAAAUUAUUCCAUUACAAAUUAUUCCAUUUCUGAGUUAUGUAGAUGCCAAAAUUGAGAAAAUUAGUUUCAGAAGAAAUGCAAAAUGCUACAUGGGAUGCCGACUCUGCUGACAGUGAAGUGGAUGAAUAAUAGCACUGAGUAAGAGAAGAACUUUGGAGUGGAGAUGGACUGCACCAACACAUGCUGCUGAUGAGGGUGUUUUGGAUGGUUGAAUGUGUUGGAUCUGGGAUUGUGGAACACCUGCAUGCACCAGCUGUAAUGUAUUCAAUGCUAGAAUGAACCAUGCUGUGACCUUAACGCAUGAUUCUAUACUGUUUUAACAGAUCUUGAGCUGUAUUGCAUUUAUUGUGGAAUUUUCUUCAUUAUUUAAAACUAAAGGGGUGCAGUAACAUUUUGAUUCAUUUCAGCCCACUUGGCCCCAAAUCUGUGUCGGGACCAAAGAGCUCCCCGUCCUCCGCACCGAAGUUGCCGAAUAAUGUGAAAAGGCGUUACUAAUGAAUUAAAGUUACAUCAAAGUUUUACUUUUAA